rnacentral:rRNA from 1 species
CCUACGGGAGGCAGCAGUGAGGAAUAUUGGUCAAUGGCCGGAAGCCUGAACCAGCCAAGUCGCGUGAGGGACGACUGCCCUAUGGGUUGUAAACCUCUUUUAUAAGGGAAGAAUAAAUGCUACGUGUAGCAUGAUGCCUGUACCUUAUGAAUAAGCAUCGGCUAACUCCGUGCCAGCAGCCGCGGUAAUACGGAGGAUGCGAGCGUUAUCCGGAUUUAUUGGGUUUAAAGGGUGCGUAGGCGGUUGUUUAAGUUAGUGGUUAAACGUCGGGGCUUCACCUUGAUUUGCCAUUAAUACUGUAAGACUCGAGUGAAGACGAGGUAGGCGGAAUAAGUUAAGUAGCGGUGAAAUGCUUAGAUAUAACGUAGAACUCCGAUAGCGAAGGCAGCUUACCAGACCGCGACUGACGCUGAAGCACGAGAGUGUGGGUAGCGAACAGGAUUAGAUACCCGAGUAGUC